UCAUUUGGGUCUCACAACAAACUGGUAAGAGAGUUAUUAUUAUAUAUAUGUAAUAUCUUAUUAUCCCCAUUUUACAGAUGAGAUAACUGAGGCUCCGAAACCAUAGGAUAAUAGAACUAUAGAUUCUAAAGCUAAAAGAGACCUUUGAGAUCAUGGAACCCAACUUCUCAUCUCACAAAUGAGGAAACCAAGACCCAAAGCAGCAUUCUUAACUUCAAGAAUGCAGGCUAAAGCCCAGCCAUGAAUGUCAGUGCCUGAAAGAAUCUUCUGAAGAGGAAGACAAGGGGAGCUCACCAGUUGUACAGAGGAACCACAUGCUGGUCUCCCAGAGGAUGAUUCACAAGGGAGAAGUAUUCUCCCUGACCAUUGUUUAUGGACUACCCCUCCCAUCAAACAGGGACUGAGGCUGGAAGAAAGAUAUUCUGUGGUAUUUGGAGUCACUACCUUAUUUUUUUGGGAAAAAAAAAGCUUUAGCUCACCUAUGGUGAGUUUGUGAGGAAAAUCUGAAUUUAACCAUUUGAUCC
rnacentral:lncRNA from 1 species